rnacentral:rRNA from 1 species
ACGGGAGGCAGCAGUAGGGAAUAUUGCACAAUGGGGGAAACCCUGAUGCAGCGACGCCGCGUGAAGGAUGAAGUAUUUCGGUAUGUAAACUUCUAUCAGCAAGGAAGAAAUUGACGGUACUUGACUAAGAAGCCCCGGCUAAAUACGUGCCAGCAGCCGCGGUAAUACGUAUGGGGCAAGCGUUAUCCGGAUUUACUGGGUGUAAAGGGAGCGUAGGCGGUGUGGCAAGUCAGAAGUGAAAGCCUGGGGCUCAACCCCGGAAUUGCUUUUGAAACUGCCAUACUUGAGUGUCGGAGGGGUAAGCGGAAUUCCUAGUGUAGCGGUGAAAUGCGUAGAUAUUAGGAAGAACACCGGUGGCGAAGGCGGCUUACUGGACGAUUACUGACGCUGAGGCUCGAAAGCGUGGGGAGCAAACAGGAUUAGAUACCCUGGUA